rnacentral:rRNA from 1 species
WACUUUUAACAAUGGAUCUCUUGGCUCUUGCAACGAUGAAGAACGCGGCAAACUGCGAUACGUUAUGUGAUCUGCAGCMUUCGUGAAUCAUCUAAUCUUUGAAUGCAUUUUGCACCCAUUGGCGCAAGUCAAGGGGUAUAUUUGAUUGAGUAUCG